rnacentral:rRNA from 1 species
UACGUAGGGUGCGAGCGUUAAUCGGAAUUACUGGGCGUAAAGUGUGCGCAGGCGGCCGCGCAAGUCGAGUGUGAAAGCCCCGGGCUUAACUUGGGAAUUGCGCUCGAAACUACGUGGCUGGAGUGUGGCAGAGGAAGGUGGAAUUCCAGGUGUAGCGGUGAAAUGCGUAGAGAUCUGGAAGGAACACCGAUGGCGAAGGCAGCCUUCUGGGCCAACAA